rnacentral:rRNA from 1 species
GAGCCGGAGGGAAACCGAGUCUUAAUUGGGCGUUAAGUUGCAGGGUAUAGACCCGAAACCCGGUGAUCUAGCCAUGGGCAGGUUGAAGGUUGGGUAACACUAACUGGAGGACCGAACCGACUAAUGUUGAAAAAUUAGCGGAUGACCUGUGGCUGGGGGUGAAAGGCCAAUCAAACCGGGAGAUAGCUGGUUCUCCCCGAAAGCUAUUUAGGUAGCGCCUCGUGAAUUCAUCUCCGGGGGUAGAGCACUGUUUCGGCUAGGGGGCCAUCCCGGCUUACCAACCCGAUGCAAACUGCGAAUACCGGAGAAUGUUAUCACGGGAGACACACGGCGGGUGCUAACGUCCGUCGUGAAGAGGGAAACAACCCAGACCGCCAGCUAAGGUCCCAAAGUCAUGGUUAAGUGGGAAACGAUGUGGGAAGGCCCAGACAGCCAGGAUGUUGGCUUAGAAGCAGCCAUCAUUUAAAGAAAGCGUAAUAGCUCACUGGUCGAGUCGGCCUGCGCGGAAGAUGUAACGGGGCUAAACCAUGCACCGAAGCUGCG